ACGCUCGACACCUACGUGAGGCAGCAGUGGGGGAUAUUGCACAAUGGAGGAAACUCUGAUGCAGCGACGCCGCGUGAGGGAAGAAGGUUUUCGGAUUGUAAACCUCUGUCUUCGGUGACGAAAAUGACGGUAGCCGAGGAGGAAGCCACGGCUAACUACGUGCCAGCAGCCGCGGUAAGUACUGAGGCGGGCGUGGCGAAGCG
rnacentral:rRNA from 1 species